CAACGCGAAGAACCUUACCUGGUCUUGACAUCCCGGAGACCCUUAGGAAACUAGGGGUGCUUCCAUCUGGAAGAAUCUGGAGACAGGUGCUGCAUGGCUGUCGUCAGCUCGUGUCGUGAGAUGUUGGGUUAAGUCCCGCAACGAGCGCAACCCUUGCCUUAGUUGCCAGCAGUUCGGCUGGGCACUCUAAAGGGACUGCCGGUGUUAAACCGGAGGAAGGUGGGGAUGACGUCAAGUCCUCAUGGCCUUUAUGACCAGGGCUACACACGUACUACAAUGGCCGAUACAAAGGGCAGCGACACUGCGAGGUGAAGCCAAUCCCGUAAAAUCGGUCUCAGUCCGGAUUGGAGUCUGCAACUCGACUCCAUGAAGUUGGAAUCGCUAGUAAUCGUGGAUCAGCAUGCCACGGUGAAUACGUUCCCGGGCCUU
rnacentral:rRNA from 1 species